CAGUGAGAAGCAAAUUUGCACAUAAUGACAGAUCGCAGGCAUCUAGCCCCAAAUGGAGUGUCUGGUUGUGAUCCAUCAUCAUGACAUUUCAGCUUUAGCAAACAUGGCUGCUCGCAGGGGGACACAAUCCAUCACUUUUCUCUAUUUCCCAGUCCAAAUGGCAGUUUCAAGGAUAUUAAUGAAGACCCAAGAGUGAAAUACAAGGACCACGUUAAAGAUAUUCAUAAAAAAAUCCAGGAAGGGGUCUGUCUACUUUCACUGGAGGACUUUAAGAGGGACACUGUGUCCCCAGGGAGGAACUAGGCUUCAUCUGUGGUAAGGAAGCAGAAUGAUUGAUCUCUAGGUGUGAGAGAUGGAAGAAACACAGGCAAAAAUGUUAAGCAUGAACAAGGAGCCGUGGUGGUGGGUGUGCACGGUUAUGGGAGUGGAAGGAGGGACACGAUAGGAAGGCCUGCCCUAAGAGUAAAUAUCAUUCCAUCGCUAGAAUUUCUACUACCACAGGAGCAAAUGUCAACGCCUCAUUUGAGCGGAGCAGCUUUGGAGUACACUAAUGUGCAAAAUCGUAGAGGAGAGAAAAGGUAACUGCAGGGAAAUGGCUGUAAACAAAAUGAUCAUCAUAAGUGAAUCUGGCACUUUUGUUUUUGUUGUCCAUAUAAAUAAUGCUAGAAAUACCUCUAACAUCAGGAGCUCAGUCGGUUAAGUGCCCGGCUCUUGAUUUCAGCUGAGGUCAUGAUCUCAGGGUUGUGGGAUAGAGCAUCAGGCUCUCUCUGGGUAUGGUGUGAAGCCUACUCGAGAUUCUUUCCCUCUCCCUCUGUGCCCCUCCUCUACCUCCCACCCGUGUGCACUCUCUGUCUCUCAAAAAAUAAAUAAAAUAAAAUAAAAAGAAAUAACUCUGUAACUUUAGACAGUUAUAUUUCAGUCUGUUCUCCAUACUUACGAACCGAGAUUAUAUCUUGAGAUAUUAUUUGUUGAGCUUUUCUUUUCCCCAACUUAUAUUUCCCCCUAGUUAA